UGAUGAUGAUGGAAGUCGUAGAAAGAGGCAGACAUCAAUGCCUAAUGUGUACUUGUCUGUUGCUGGAUUGAAUGAUAUCAAUUCAUUUGCAUUAAAUACUACUUUUGGUGAUACUACUUCACCAAGACCUGAUUGCUCUGGCAUAUGUAAACUCAAACUUCUUGCAAUGUCAUGUGAGGUUCUGAGGAUGAAUGGUGAACAUGUGCCAGCUCCAUGCCGUAACUGAUUUAAUUUUAUUUUUGGUCUUUUUUAUUGUGGUAGUUAAAUAGUUAAGUAGUUAAUUUUUGUCUAGUUUUGUUUUAGAGUUUUAUUGUAGAGAAAAUGAGGAGAAAGAGAAUUGUUUAUUACCAUAAUACAUUGUCAUUUAA